UACGGAGGGUGCGAGCGUUGUCCGGAAUCACUGGGCGUAAAGGGCGCGUAGGCGGCUUCUCAAGCGUGUGGUGAAAGUCCAGGGCUCAACCCUGGAAUGCCGGUGGAUACUGUCGGGCUAGAGUCCGGAAGGGGCGAGUGGAAUUCCUGGUGUAGCGGUGAAAUGCGCAGAUAUCAGGAGGAACACCGGUGGCGAAGGCGGUUCUCUGGGCAUUACCUGACGCUGAGGAGCGAAAGUGUGGGGAGCGAACAGG
rnacentral:rRNA from 1 species